AGCUCCAAUAGCGUAUAUUAAAGUUGUUGCAGUUAAAAAGCUCGUAGUUGGACUUUAGGCAAGGCAGCCUGGUCGCCCUCUGGGUGCACUGGGAUUGCUGCGCCUCACCUUCGGGGAGCUAGUCGUGCUUCGGUGCGCUAGGGAACCGAGCCUUACCUUGAGGAAAUUAGAGUGUUUAAAGCAGGCUUAUGCUUGAAUACGUUAGCAUGGAAUAACAUGAUAGGACUUUGGUUCUAUUUUGUUGGUUUGAGGACCAAAGUAAUGAUUAAUAGGGACAGUUGGGGGCAUUAGUAUUCAAUAGUCAGAGGUGAAAUUCUUGGAUUUAUUGAAGACUAACUAAUGCGAAAGCAUUUGCCAAGGAUGUUUUCA
rnacentral:rRNA from 1 species